rnacentral:rRNA from 1 species
AGAGUUUGAUUCUGGCUCAGAUUGAACGCUGGCGGCGUGCUUAACACAUGCAAGUCGAACGUGAAAGUCCUUCGGGACGAGUAAAGUGGCGCACGGGUGAGUAACGCGUGGAUAAUCUACCCUUAAGAUGGGGAUAACGGCUGGAAACGGUCGCUAAUACCGAAUACGCUCCCGAUUUUAUCAUUGGGGGGAAAGAUGGCCUCUGCUUGCAAGCUAUCGCUUAAGGAUGAGUCCGCGUCCCAUUAGCUAGUUGGCGGGGUAACGGCCCACCAAGGCAACGAUGGGUAGCCGGUCUGAGAGGAUGACCGGCCACACUGGAACUGGAACACGGUCCAGACUCCUACGGGAGGCAGCAGUGGGGAAUAUUGCGCAAUGGGCGAAAGCCUGACGCAGCGACGCCGCGUGAGGGAUGAAGGUUCUCGGAUCGUAAACCUCUGUCAGGGGGGAAGAAACCCCCUCGUGUGAAUAAUGCGAGGGCUUGACGGUACCCCCAAAGGAAGCACCGGCUAACUCCGUGCCAGCAGCCGCGGUAAUACGGAGGGUGCAAGCGUUAAUCGGAAUCACUGGGCGUAAAGCGCACGUAGGCGGUCUGGUAAGUCAGAGGUGAAAGCCCACAGCCCAACUGUGGAACUGCCUUUGAUACUGCCAGACUUGAGUACCGGAGAGGGUGGCGGAAUUCCAGGUGUAGGAGUGAAAUCCGUAGAUAUCUGGAGGAACACCGGUGGCGAAGGCGGCCACCUGGACGGUAACUGACGCUGAGGUGCGAAAGCGUGGGUAGCAAACAGGAUUAGAUACCCUGGUAGUCCACGCCGUAAACG